rnacentral:rRNA from 1 species
AGUGAACGCUGGCGGCGUGCCUAACACAUGCAAGUCGAACGGGCUAGUGCUUCGCACUAGUCUCUUUCUGGGGUUGCUACUCUAAGGCUACCUGCUAAAGUUAUUGCUUUAAAGCAGGGGUUUUAGGGGACCUUCCCCAAAAGGGGCCAGUGCGGAGCACUGGCCAGUGGCGAACGGGUGAGUAACACGUGGGUAAUCUGCCCUCGAGUGGGGAAUAAGCUCCCGAAAGGGGGUCUAAUACCGCAUGACGUUUCAUAACGAUGGUUAUGAAACCAAAGCCCAAAAGGCGCUUGAGGAGGAGCCUGCGUCCUAUCAGCUUGUUGGCAGGGUAAUGGCCUACCAAGGCUAUGACGGGUAGCCGGCCUGAGAGGUUGAACGGCCACAUUGGGACUGAGAUACGGCCCAGACUCCUACGGGAGGCAGCAGUCGGGAAUAUUGCGCAAUGGAGGAAACUCUGACGCAGUGACGCCGCGUAUAGGAAGAAGGUUUUCGGAUUGUAAACUAUUGUCGUUAGGGAAGAUAAAAGA